CCUACGGGUGGCAGCAGUGAGGAAUAUUGGUCAAUGGACGAGAGUCUGAACCAGCCAAGUAGCGUGAAGGAUGACUGCCCUAUGGGUUGUAAACUUCUUUUAUAUGGGAAUAAAAUGUUCCACGUGUGGGAUUUUGUAUGUACCAUAUGAAUAAGGAUCGGCUAACUCCGUGCCAGCAGCCGCGGUAAUACGGAGGAUCCGAGCGUUAUCCGGCUUUAUUGGGUUUAAAGGGAGCGUAGGUGGAUUGUUAAGUCAGUUGUGAAAGUUUGCGGCUAAACCGUAAAAUUGCAGUUGAAACUGGCAGUCUUGAGUACAGGAGAGGUGGGCUGAAUUCGUGGUGUAGCGGUGAAAUGCUUAGAUAUCACGAAGAACUCCGAUUGCGAAGGCAGUUCACUGGACUGCAACUGACACUGAGGCUCGAAAGUGUGGGUAUCAAACAGGAUUAGAUACCCGGGUAGUC
rnacentral:rRNA from 1 species